rnacentral:rRNA from 1 species
UACAGAGGUCUCAAGCGUUGUUCGGAUUCAUUGGGCGUAAAGGGUGCGUAGGCGGCGCGGUAAGUCGGGUGUGAAAUCUCGGAGCUUAACUCCGAAACUGCAUUCGAUACUGCCGUGCUUGAGGACUGGAGAGGAGACUGGAAUUUACGGUGUAGCGGUGAAAUGCGUAGAUAUCGUAAGGUAGACCAGUGGCGAAGGCGGGUCUCUGGACAGUUCCUGACGCUGAGGCACGAAGGUCAGGGGAGCAAACGGG